rnacentral:misc_RNA from 1 species
AAAAUUCAAUCUGAGCAUUUUGCCAUCUAAAGACUAAAAGUGAUAACAAUAAGUAGAAAGAAAUUUCAGACCAAGUAUUAUAUAGAAUUACAUUAUAAUUACACGGCUUUUGUUAAUCUUACGUGGAUUUAUCCCCCUAUAAUAAGAAUAAACAUGUAAA